GCUCAACCGAAGAAGUGCAUUGGAAACUGGGAGACUUGAGUGCAGAAGAGGACAGUGGAACUCCAUGUGUAGCGGUGAAAUGCGUAGAUAUAUGGAAGAACACCAGUGGCGAAGGCGGCUGUCUGGUCUGCAACUGACGCUGAGGCUCGAAAGCAUGGGUAGCGAACAGGAUUAGAUACCCUGGUAGUCCAUGCCGUAAACGAUGAUUACUAAGUGUUGGAGGGUUUCCGCCCUUCAGUGCUGCAGCUAACGCAUUAAGUAAUCCGCCUGGGGAGUACGACCGCAAGGUUGAAACUCAAAAGAAUUGACGGGGGCCCGCACAAGCGGUGGAGCAUGUGGUUUAAUUCGAAGCUACGCGAAGAACCUUACCAGGUCUUGACAUCUUCUGACAGUCUAAGAGAUUAGAGGUUCCCUUCGGGGACAGAAUGACAGGUGGUGCAUGGUUGACGUCAGCUCGUGUCGUGAGAUGUUGGGUUAAGUCCCGCAACGAGCGCAACCCUUAUUACUAGUUGCCAGCAUUAAGUUGGGCACUCUAGUGAGACUGCCGGUGACAAACCGGAGGAAGGUGGGGACGACGUCAAAUCAUCAUGCCCCUUAUGACCUGGGCUACACACGUGCUACAAUGGAUGGUACAACG
rnacentral:rRNA from 1 species